CCCUUAGAUGUUCUGGGCUGCACGCGCGCUACACUGAUGCGCUCAACGAGUUUUAACCUUGCCUGGAAAGGUUGGGUAAUCUUUUUAAAACGCAUCGUGAUGGGGAUAGAUUAUUGCAAUUAUUAAUCUUCAACGAGGAAUGCCUAGUAAGCGUGAUUCAUCAAAUCGCGUUGAUUACGUCCCUGCCCUUUGUACACACCGCCCGUCGCUCCUACCGAUUGAAUGUGUUGGUGAGGAGCUCGGAUUGGCAGCAGUUGGUGGUUCGCCACCGGCUAUUGCUGAGAAGUCCUCCAAACCGCCCCAUUUAGAGGAAGGAGAAGUCGUAACA
rnacentral:rRNA from 1 species